rnacentral:rRNA from 1 species
AGCGAACGCUGGCGGCAGGCUUAACACAUGCAAGUCGAACGCCCGGGCAACCGGGAGUGGCAGACGGGUGAGUAACGCGUGGGAACAUGCCCUUUGGUUCGGAAUAACUCAGGGAAACUUGAGCUAAUACCGGAUAAGCCCUAACGGGGAAAGAUUUAUCGCCGAAGGAUUGGCCCGCGUCCGAUUAGCUAGUUGGUGUGGUAAUGGCGCACCAAGGCGACGAUCGGUAGCUGGUCUGAGAGGAUGAUCAGCCACACUGGGACUGAGACACGGCCCAGACUCCUACGGGAGGCAGCAGUGGGGAAUAUUGGACAAUGGGGGCAACCCUGAUCCAGCCAUGCCGCGUGAGUGAUGAAGGCCCUAGGGUUGUAAAGCUCUUUCGGCGGGGACGAUAAUGACGGUACCCGCAGAAGAAGCCCCGGCUAACUUCGUGCCAGCCGCCGCCGUAACAC